CCAUGACCCUGUUACACAAAACAAGUUAAAAGACAUACAAGGCUGACAGGAUCAUGACACCGAGUUCACAUCACAAACUGAAUGCGAGAUGGUGUCCAUUGUGCAGGAGUAUGUAGAGGUUGUGUGUUGUCUCGUGAGCAGUCAGAACAUCAGCAACAACAAAAUCUUCUUGCAAAGCAACAUCAGUAUUGCAUUAGAUCAUCUGGUUCCCACCUGUUGUUGGUCCAGUUCUGACGGGUCUUGGACCGGAUCUCUCUGUGAGCCUGAUUCAGCUCUCUAGUGCCAUCUGUGGGCUGAUCUGUGCAGUACAGCUUAAAUCACAAGACAAUAACAAGGUCAUAAGGCUUGUCAAGCAGGUCAGACUCCCACACGGAUGUGUUUUAUAUAAGUCAGUGUGAUAGACAUGCUUUACAAUAUGUUGUCAUCUUCAGGCACGACACACGACA